GCUUAACUGACUGAGCCAUCCAGGCACUCCAGCAAACACAGUUUAAAAAAUGUAUAUGGACACUUCUAGAAAUAGAUAGUGGAUUAAAGCUUCCUCAUAGAAUUUCUCUUUCUCAAUCCCUAACAAAAGACAGUAGACAAAACCACAGGGGAAAUUUACUAUCAGUAACCAAUACAAUAAACUUCAAAUUUGACAUCCAGAGAAAGAUACAAAAGAUGACAUGGAGUGGCAUAGAACAUUUCUGCUCUCUCCCCUGUCCUGAACCCCUAGAAAUGAACAUAAUCCUGAACAUUCUCCCUAGUGCUCCUGAAUCUGGAAGGAAACAGAUGUGAGUCAUGCCCUCAUAUUCUUCCUCUUCUGAAUGAACCAUAUUAAAAAGUGUGCUGGGGAGAAAUAGGGGAAGCAGAGAGCAUGACCCAUGGAGCUGACUCAGUUGAUGGAAAGAAAACCCCUUAGAACAACACUCCAAUUUGAGAAAUUGACACAAACCUGAGUUUCCCCUUUCCUUACAAAAAGUAUGUAAGAUCCCCCUCUCGGUCCCCAAUCAAAUGACCUGAGCCUUGUGCAGGACGUUAACCAGAACCUCAGGACAGUCGCACACGCACGCAUUCCCACAAGGGCUGCCCUCUGCUUCAACUGAGCUUUCCUCUUUCCCCUCCUCCACUUCUGACUACGAAAAAGUGUACAAAAUCCAAACACUCUGCCUCUCACUUAGCUCAGAGGGAAAAACAGACUGAUCUCAAAGAGUGAGGACAUAGUCAAUGAGUUCUUCUCUCCUGCCAUCAUGUUACAGCAGCAGAAGGUAAGUCUGGAUGGAGCCACCAAAUCAGAUGAAAAGAAAUGGAGGCAAACACAUGGCAGCUCAUAAUUAAUAAGUAGAGGGAAAACAGUAAGCAAAAGGCAAAGGUUCCUCAACACCCCCAUCACCCCACCCUGCCCCGACCAAAGGAAAUUGCUUUCAAUUGCUUCACAGAGAAAACAAUAAGAACAUGAAUUUAAUAACUGAAGGCUCAAAGAUAGGGUGAUAAAAUGAGAAUUGAUAGCAAGGAAACAAAUUGAGGACAAAAACAGCAUCAUGUUAGAACAGAUAACUUAGAACGAACAAGAGAGGCAACUAACCACACCGAAACUUACAUUACUGAAUUGAGGCAGCUAAACAGAGGUAAAGAGAUUUAAGAAACUGGAAUUAAUAGAAAUGGAGUACAUACAAAGAUGAUCCAGUAUAAGGAUUUGUUGGUAUCCUUGAAGGAGGAAAAUAAAACAACAACAACAACAACAACAACAACAAAAACAGAGCCAAAGGAGAGUGUCUAAUGCAGAAAAAAUGUAAAUUGCAGAUUGAAAGACCCAUUAUUUCCAGAAAAGCUUGAUUCAGAAUGUUUAAUACUAAGACAUGUCUUAGUUAAACUGUUUAACUAAAAAAAAGUGAUGGAAAGUGACUCCUUUAGGCAUAUAAGCAGGAAAAAGAGGUCAUCUACAAGGAGGAAAAAUCAGACUUGUCUCAGAUUUCUUCCAGAGAAAAAAGUGCAACACCUACCAUAUUCUAUGCGAAAGAAGGGGAGACCUGAGAACAUUACCAUCAGCCAAAAUCUGGUUCCAAUGUAAAGGCAACAGGCACACAUUCUUAAACAUCCAAAAUCCUUCUUGAUGAAAUAAGGUAACGAUGAAACUCAGUCCACGAAGAGAUAAAUUGAAAUAAAGAGCUUGCAAAUGGAGAAGCCUUGAUAAAAAGCUUGGAAUUAAUUUAAAUCUAGAUUCUAUACCAAGUAACUAUGCAAUUAUGUUUUGGUUUUUUUAUUUUUAUUUUUUUUUGCAAUUAUGUUUUUACAGAACAGAUACAUUUCUCAUAAACCUGGAGGAUGUAAUGACUACAAUAUAAGUAAGGGAGAUGGAAAAAUGGAAAGAAUCAUAAGAGAUGAUUCUAAGAUGCCUUUGCAUGCCGACAUGUGAAAUUGUUAUUUUUUUAAAAAAUGACUGAAUAUCUUAAUGUUUUUCACCAUUUUUGUUUACCCUCAGAGGUACCCUUCAACGAGUAAUGUCUCUUGUGGUCAAGAAACAUUACUUGAAGGUUCACUCUUCCUUCAGUUUCAAGUAGAAUUAAAUGUAAUACUUUGAAUUCAAAUAGCAUCUGUAGUAUGGUCCAGUUCUUAUGAAGAAGCUCUGUGACCUUCCCUCCUAUCUUUAUGCACAGAAAGUUUUCUGGGAUGAUGUGAUGUUAUGGUUAUUUCUAUGGUCGAUUCUGAAAGGUCGUAUACAGCUGAUUAUUUUCUUGCUUGUCACUUUUUAAUAUUCUAAUUUUCUGAUACAUCUAUGAAUACAAAAAUUUUAAAUAUUAGAAACAAAAUGUUCUCUGGCUCCUCACUGAAAGAAAAAAAAACAAACUUGGCAGAGGGAUGCUAUUUCCCAGUGUCUACUCUCUUCACAUUUUAUAGACUUUUUAGCAUAUACUUGAUGACCAGUAUACAGACCCUGUUUCCCAACUGGGGUUCUGGCUUAUAGGAUAUAGGCAUACAUACCAUGCUGCAGCUUUCGGCUCAUUGGAGAGUACCUGCUCAUUUUCUCUUUAUCACUUUCAUUCCUUCCUGCUGUCUGGAAUGCAGAUAUCACUAUAUGGGACCAUGAGGUAAAGACCUUGCAAAGCAAAGGGACACAGAAGAUAACUACUAUAUAGCAUAUGAAACACCAUGAUAGAGAGGAACAAAGUGAAUACAUUGAGUCCAAAAGGACCAGUGGAGCCAGUUCACUUCAGUGACAAGCUACCGUUUGUCUAGAAGAGAAGAGAAAACCAUUUCAGGGGCCCAGAUUCCAUUAGGACGUCUCCCCCAAAUCCCUGGAGCAAGCAGGGUGAUGACAACUUGCAAUCUGGUGCCUUGGCCGUGGAGGUGAAAUAAGCAUCCUGCGCAUUCCUUGCGCAAGAAGUCAAUUCGCAGGAGCUGAAGGCUGGUCUCUUCCCGGGAAGGCCGCCGGGCCGGACUCGCGGGUCCCGCCCCGGGUCCCGCCCUGGCUCCGAUGGGAGCAUCAGGUGGGGGCCAGGGCAAGGGCACACGAGGCUCAGGCGGCCUCUCCUGUCCCCGAUGGGCAGCAAGUAGCCCGUCGACACUCUGUCCAGUGGUCCCAGCGCAUUUGCAGGCUCGGACGGGGUGGAGGCGCCUUGGCGGGGAACCCCUAGGCGCUCGUAGUGCCCCAUUCUCUUCGCCAUGGAAGCGGCUUCCUAGCGCGCGGAGCCCUGUCACGACCAUCCGGGCUUGGCCCCAGCUUCCCAGAGAGGCGCGCACUGGCCCUUGGCCCCCCAGGCACUGCCCUCCCGGCCCCCCAACUCGCGG